rnacentral:rRNA from 1 species
UGAGGAAUAUUGCGCAAUGGGGGAAACCCUGACGCAGCGACGCCGCGUGAGUGAUGAAGGCCUUCGGGUUGUAAAGCUCUGUCAGAGGGAAAGAAAGGUGUGUCGGAACAAUACCCGGCACAAUUGACGGUACCCUCGGAGGAAGCACCGGCUAACUCCGUGCCAGCAGCCGCGGUAAUACGGAGGGUGCAAGUGUUAUUCGGAAUCACUGGGCGUAAAGAGCACGUAGGCGGAUAGGUAAGUCAGAUGUGAAAUCCCGGGGCUUAACUUCGGAACUGCAUUUGAUACUGCCUGUCUUGAGUGUGGUAGAGGGGGAUGGAAUUCCCGGUGUAGAGGUGAAAUUCGUAGAUAUCGGGAGGAACACCAGAGGCGAAGGCGAUCCCCUGGGCCAUUACUGACGCUGAGGUGCGAAAGCGUGGGGAGCAAACAGG